rnacentral:rRNA from 1 species
UACGUAGGGUGCAAGCGGUAAUCGGAAUUAUUGGGCGUAAAGGGCGCGUAGGCGGUGCGGUAAGUCGCCUGUGAAAUCUCCUGGCUCAACUGGGAGCUUGCAGGCGAAACUGCCGUGCUGGAGUGUGGGAGAGGUGCGUGGAAUUCCUGGUGUAGCGGUGAAAUGCGUAGAUAUCAGGAGGAACACCUGUGGCGAAAGCGGCGCACUGGACCACAACUGACGCUGAGGCGCGAAAGCUAGGGGAGCAAACAGG